GCUUGCUACGGCUGCACAUACUAAAAUUGGAUCGAUACAGAGAAGAUUAGCAUGGCCCUUGCGUGAUGGGUUAAAUGCAGAGGACAAAUUUCACUGUGUG
ensembl:snRNA U6 U6 spliceosomal RNA